UUUCUACGUUUUUGACGCUAGGCAGUAACAUAGCCAAAAACACUUUCAUACAAUGUUUAUUACAAAAAUAUUACUGAUAUAUUACAUUGCUAACAAAUAAUGUUAUAUCUAUUCAUUUAGACGGUUGAAAAAUUUAUUUAAUAAGUAAGUAAGUAAAUAAGUAAAUAGAUAUUUUAUUAAUGUGUCAUAUGUAAACAUACAAGCAAUGAACAAACAAGACAUGGAUAAACAAUAGUAUACACCCGGCCCAAUGGGCCUAUAAGACACAAAUAACAUGAAGACAAUAAAUCUGAAAACACGUGAACAACAUAAAAGGUAUGUUUAGAUAAAAAAAGAAGAAGAAAGAUCUUACUUAUCUUCUAGCUCAAAAGAAAUCUCUUAUUUUAAAUAUGUCUCUUUCAUCGCUCGUAAGUGUUCACUUAGUGAAAUAUAUUUCAAUCUUACAUGCAAAACAAACAAAUAUCCUCAAUAUAAACGUGACGAUUAUCCAAUGAAAAUCUGAGUUACAAACGUACAGUUACAGAAUAAUUAACAUUAAUCUAUUGUAGGUCAAUAUGAAUAUGAAGAUCAUUGCUGCUUUUCUAAUUGUCAACCUAUUUCUAAGCCUUAAUGCUCCAGCGGACGCCCAGGGAGCAUACGGCGGAUUGGGGACUUUGCUCGGAUUAGGCGCUGGUUUGGCUGUAGGGUCUUACAUCGGUAGAGGAUUUCGUAGGGGGUACCCUGGGUAUGGCUACCGAGGGUAUGGCUACGGCUAUCCAAGAUAUGGCUACGGACGUCGGCCAUUCGGACUUUUUGGCCGCGGCUUUUAUUGAUAGACCUACAAACAUUUAGGUACACAGCAUUUUGUAUUUAGAGGUAUUAGAAAACAAAUCUUUCAUUCAAUAAACUGAUUUAUAAACAA